CUUAAGAAAGAUGUCAUCAUACUUUCCAACUAUUUUUUUCAGUUUUCAUAUUCUAUUUUCAAAUGUCUACUCAUUUUCGAUUUUGAAUAAUAAAUUAUAUUUUUAAAUAUAAUAAUUUAAGUAUGUUAUGAAGUGCAAUUGAUUGAAUGAACAGACAUGACUUUUAAACAUAAAAUAAAUCAAGCCACAAUGAUAACAGGUAUUUCAUUCAAAUGUUUGUACCUGUGUUUAAAAACUAAAAACACCAACAACCAAUACAAAUUCUUCUGAUUAUUGCAUUUAUACAAUAAAUACAAUUUGCAAAGACCAUUUAGCUCAAACAAUGUCAUUUAAUAAUGAUAGAUCCAUUAACAUGGUCUUGGAGAGUAUAAACUUGAACUAUUAAUUAAAAUCUUUGGUAACAGUUGUAUUUGAUUCCAUCAGAUUAAAGAACUUUGCAUAGAUACAUUGAAAUACAUUGUAUUACAAUUUACAAGGAUUUUUU
rnacentral:lncRNA from 1 species